rnacentral:rRNA from 1 species
GACGAACGCUGGCGGCGUGCUUAACACAUGCAAGUCGUACGGUAAGGCCCUUUCGGGGGUACACGAGUGGCGAACGGGUGAGUAACACGUGAGUAACCUGCCCACAACUUUGGGAUAACGCUAGGAAACUGGUGCUAAUACUGGAUAUGUGCUCCUGCUGCAUGGUGGGGGUUGGAAAGCUCCGGCGGUUGUGGAUGGACUCGCGGCCUAUCAGCUUGUUGGUGGGGUAGUGUCCUACCAAGGCGGCGACGGGUAGCCGGCCUGAGAGGGUGACCGGCCACAUUGGGACUGAGAUACGGCCCAGACUCCUACGGGAGGCAGCAGUGGGGAAUAUUGCACAAUGGGCGCAAGCCUGAUGCAGCAACGCCGCGUGCGGGAUGACGGCCUUCGGGUUGUAAACCGCUUUCAGCAGGGACGAAGCUUUUUGUGACGGUACCUGCAGAAGAAGCACCGGCUAACUACGUG